ensembl:lncRNA
AUCAGGAGUGGCUUUCCUGUUUGUUGCUUUCCUGGGCAAGUGACGUUGGAUUGUUGCAGUGAAUUUCUGCCUUAAGAUUGGCUUCAUCUCAAGAACAAGGGAAGAUGACCUCAAGAAUGCCAAGGACCAUCGCCUUCCCUCUCUGACACUCUUUAGCUCUCACUCACCACCGGCCAGAAGCAGCUGGUGAGCAGGGGGCCAGCAGGGCUGAGCUGCUCCUCACACCACGCUUCUGCUGCUGCAUGGUCCCUCUCCACCAGAACUGAUGGGACCAUCGCUUUGUGGACAGAUCGAAACCAAGUCUGGCCUGCAGGACUGCAUGGGAUUCUCAUGCUCAACACAAGGCUGAAAAACCAAAGCUGAAAAUACG